rnacentral:pre_miRNA from 1 species
UUUUAGGAAUAAGCAAAGAAAGUGGUUUCCUUAGGUGGAAUCUACUCCUGGUGAAGAUUCUGUGAA